GACGAACGCUGGCGGCGUGCCUAAUACAUGCAAGUUGAGCGCUGAAGGUUGGUACUUGUACCAACUGGAUGAGCAGCGAACGGGUGAGUAACGCGUGGGUAAUCUGCCUUUGAGCGGGGGACAACAUUUGGAAAGGAAUGCUAAUACCGCAUAAAAACUUUAAACACAAGUUUUAAGUUUGAAAGAUGCAAUUGCAUCACUCAAAGAUGAUUCCGCGUUGUAUUAGCUAGUUGGCGAGGUAAAGGCUCACCAAAGCGAUGAUACAUAGCCGACCUGAGAGGGUGAUCGGCCACAUUGGGACUGGGGAACGGCCCAAACUCCUACGGGAGGGAGCAGUAGGGGAUCUUCGGACAUGGGCGGAAGGCUGACCGAAGACCGCCGCGGGAGGGAAGAAGGUUUUCGGGUCGUAAAACUCUGUUGGUAGGGAAGGACGUGGGGGAGGGUGGAAAGCUGAUCAAGUGACGGUAACUACACAGAAAGGGACGGCUAACUACGUG
rnacentral:rRNA from 1 species